AGAGUUUGAUCAUGGCUCAGGAUGAACGCUAGCGGCAGGCCUAAUACAUGCAAGUCGAGGGGCAGCAUAGUAGCAAUACUGAUGGCGACCGGCGCACGGGUGCGUAACGCGUAUGCAACCUACCUUUUACAGGGGUAUAGCCCGGAGAAAUCCGGAUUAACACCGCAUAAUAUAUUGAGAUGGCAUCAUGUUGAUAUUAAAUAUUUAUAGGUAAAAGAUGGGCAUGCGUCCAAUUAGCUAGUUGGUAGUGUAACGGACUACCAAGGCGAUGAUUGGUAGGGGUUCUGAGAGGAAGGUCCCCCACACUGGUACUGAGAUACGGACCAGACUCCUACGGGAGGCAGCAGUAGGGAAUAUUGGGCAAUGGAGGAGGCUCUGACCCAGCCAUGCCGCGUGCAGGAAGAAGGCCUUCUGGGUUGUAAACUGCUUUUGAUCGGGAACAAAAAGUCCAUGCGUGGAAGAUUGAGUGUACCGAUAGAAUAAGCACCGGCUAACUCCGUGCCAGCAGCCGCGGUAAUACGGAGGGUGCAAGCGUUGUCCGGAUUUAUUGGGUUUAAAGGGUGCGUAGGCGGCCGUAUAAGUCAGUGGUGAAAUACUUGAGCUUAACUUAAGCAUUGCCAUUGAUACUGUAUGGCUUGAGUACAGAUGAGGUAGGCGGAAUUGAUGGUGUAGCGGUGAAAUGCAUAGAUACCAUCAAGAACACCGAUUGCGAAGGCAGCUUACUAAGCUGUAACUGACGCUGAGGCACGAAAGCGUGGGGAUCGAACAGGAUUAGAUACCCUAGUAGUCC
rnacentral:rRNA from 1 species